rnacentral:lncRNA from 1 species
GGAGAAUUGGGUGUGCUGAGCCAUGGGCAAAACCAGGCUGUCACAAGCAAGACCUGCAAAAGGCCAUGAAUUUCACGACCUCUACUGCUGCCAGGUUAUAGAGCCAGGGAUUGCCUGCAGAAGAUCUCAUGAAGAUCCAUCCAGAUGCCAUGUGUAUACAAACCUACCUGAAGCCAUCUCCCAUCCUCCAAGGCAUGCACCGUAUUUGCAGGAGAGCGCAGGCCAGUGGUGGAGGUGGGUGUUUGGCAACGGUGGCGACAUGGGGACGCUUACUUGUUCCUUGCUGGGGUGGCAUCGAGGAGCCAGAAAGUUUCAU